GUUUGAAGCAGGAAAUACAACAUAGGAAGUCUGGUAACCAUAGGAAGCCUGGGAUAGGCCUGCUCCAUCUGUGAAAGGAAGGUUCUAAUCAUAUGAUUGGAAGAAUACACUCUACCCACACAGUGCCUUGGUAUAUCCCUGAGCUGAGGGCAUUGAAGCAAGUGUGGAGAUGGCUGGAACACAAGUAGAAGAAAACUUGGGACAAGUCCAAGAGAACACAGGACCCCCGCAGCUUAUUAAGAUCUUCGGGAGAGGUCUGCCUGCAGCUGCCCGCAACUUGUCUGUUGGUGACUCAGGGCUGGGCCUUCUCUAUAACUGUCCUGAGACUUUGGAACAAACUCCCUGUUAUUGCAAGAGCUUCCUCAUCAUUAGCAGGUUCUAAAAGAGCAGUCAAGAUGCAUUUAUUUCAACAAACCUUUGAUUAGCUGUAAGUUGGUUUCUAUUCUGCUGUUUAAGUUGUUUUAAAUUUCUUAUAACUGUUUUAAUUUGGUUUAAAUUCUGGUUUUAUUGUUUGCUUUGUAAAGCAGCACGAGACGGUAUG